rnacentral:rRNA from 1 species
AAUAGAUACCCAGGUAGUCCACGCCGUAAACGAUGGAUGCUAGCUGUUAUGCGUAUCGACCCGUGUAGUAGCGAAGCUAACGCGUUAAGCAUCCCGCCUGGGGAGUACGAACGCAAGUUUAAAGCUCAAAGGAAUUGACGGGGACCCGCACAAGCGGUGGAGCGUGUUCUUUAAUUCGAGGCUAAGCGAAGAACCUUACCAGGGCUUGACAUCCUUGGAAUUUCUCCGAAAGGAGAGAGUACUUUAUUGGACCAAGUGACAGGUGCUGCAUGGCCGUCGUCAGCUCGUGUCGUGAGAUGUUUGGUUAAGUCCAUUAACGAGCGCAACCCUUAUGAAUAGUUGUAUUUUUCUAUUCAGACUGCCCCGGUAACGGGGAGGAAGGGGGGAUGAUGUCAGGUCAGUAUUGCCCUUACGCCCUGGGCUAGAAACGCGCUACAAUGGCCGGUACAAUGCGCUGCCAACCCGCGAGGGGGAGCAAAUCGCAUCAAAGCCGGUCCCAGUUCGGAUAAGAGGCUGAAACUCGCCUCUUGAAGCCGGAAUCGCUAGU